rnacentral:lncRNA from 1 species
UAAUAUUCAAGAAUCUCUCACCCUUUUUCAAAUCUCCUAGUGACCUGAAGACCCUACAAUGAAUUGCAAAUAUGAAUAGGACUUUCAGUAUCCAAUACCUAGGUCAUUGUAUUUAUAAGAGAGAAGUUACAAGGUGUUAUCACAUAAGUACCUUGUCCAGUAACUGAUUGCUUCUUCUUCUUUGGCCUGUUCGGGUCAAAAGAAGUGAUAUACUGAGGAUAAUUUCUCUUCCAGUGAUCUUGCUUCUUG